UCAAACUUGGUCAUUUAGAGGAAGUAAAAGUCGUAACAAGGUUUCCGUAGGUGAACCUGCGGAAGGAUCAUUACGAAGUUCAGGGCCUUCGGGCCCUAACCUCAACCCCUGACUUGUUUACAACGAUUCUUUGCUGGGAAAGCCCGGCAGAAGACAUCUUCAACUCUUUAUUAAACUUGUGUCGAAACCGUCAUCUCAAAAUGAAACAAAACUUUCAACAACGGAUCUCUUGGUUCUGGCAUCGAUGAAGAACGCAGC
rnacentral:misc_RNA from 1 species